AGAGUUUGAUCCUGGCUCAGGACGAACGCUGGUGGCGUGCUUAACACAUGCAAGUCGAACGGAAAGGCCCUUCGGGGUACUCGAGUGGCGAACGGGUGAGUAACACGUGGGUGAUCUGCCCUGCACUUUGGGAUAAGCCUGGGAAACUGGGUCUAAUACCGAAUAUGACCAUGCACUUCCUGGUGUGUGGUGGAAAGCUUUUGCGGUGUGGGAUGGGCCCGCGGCCUAUCAGCUUGUUGGUGGGGUAAUGGCCUACCAAGGCGACGACGGGUAGCCGGCCUGAGAGGGUGACCGGCCACACUGGGACUGAGAUACGGCCCAGACUCCUACGGGAGGCAGCAGUGGGGAAUAUUGCACAAUGGGCGCAAGCCUGAUGCAGCGACGCCGCGUGAGGGAUGACGGCCUUCGGGUUGUAAACCUCUUUCAGCACAGACGAAGCGCAAGUGACGGUAUGUGCAGAAGAAGGACCGGCCAACUACGUGCCAGCAGCCGCGGUAAUACGUAGGGUCCGAGCGUUGUCCGGAAUUACUGGGCGUAAAGAGCUCGUAGGUGGUUUGUCGCGUUGUUCGUGAAAACUCACAGCUUAACUGUGGGCGUGCGGGCGAUACGGGCAGACUUGAGUACUGCAGGGGAGACUGGAAUUCCUGGUGUAGCGGUGAAAUGCGUAGA
rnacentral:rRNA from 1 species